AGUGAACGCUGGCGGUAGGCCUAACACAUGCAAGUCGAACGGCAGCACAGUAAGAGCUUGCUCUUACGGGUGGCGAGUGGCGGACGGGUGAGGAAUACAUCGGAAUCUACUUUUUCGUGGGGGAUAACGUAGGGAAACUUACGCUAAUACCGCAUACGACCUACGGGUGAAAGCGGGGGAUCUUGGGACCUUGCGCGAUCGAAUGACCCGAUGUCGGAUUAGCUAGUUGGCGGGGUAAAGGCCCACCAAGGCGACGAUCCGUAGCUGGUCUGAGAGGAUGAUGAGCCACACUGGAACUGAGACACGGUCCAGACUCCUACGGGAGGCAGCAGUGGGGAAUAUUGGACAAUGGGCGCAAGCCUGAUCCAGCCAUACCGCGUGGGUGAAGAAGGCCUUCGGGUUGUAAAGCCCUUUUGUUGGGAAAGAAAAGCAGCAGGUUAAUACCCCGCUGUUCUGACGGUACCCAAAGAAUAAGCACCGGCUAACUUCGUG
rnacentral:rRNA from 1 species